GCCUUUAUAGCUCAGUGGUAGUAGCGUAGCACUUGUAAUGCUAAGGUCCUGUGUUCAAUCCACAGUGGAGGCA
rfam:Pneumocystis jirovecii, SE8, WGS project CAKM01000000 data, contig: 85